rnacentral:rRNA from 1 species
ACGCUGGCGGCGUGCCCUAACACAUGCAAGUCGAACGGGGAUUUUGUUUCGGCAGAAUCCUAGUGGCGAACGGGUGAGUAACGCGUAGGCAACCUGCCCUCCGGCCGGGGACAACACUCCGAAAGGGGUGCUAAUACCGGAUACGAAGUCUGUGCCGCAUGGUACGGAUUUGAAAGAUGGCCUCUGUUUACAAGCUAUCGCCGGGGGAUGGGCCUGCGUCCGAUUAGCUGGUUGGUGGGGUAACGGCCUACCAAGGCGACGAUCGGUAGCCGGUCUGAGAGGAAGGUCCCCCACAUUGGAACUGAGACACGGUCCAAACUCC